UGGGGAAUCUUCCGCAAUGGACGAAAGUCUGACGGAGCAACGCCGCGUGAGUGAUGACGGCCUUCGGGUUGUAAAGCUCUGUUAAUCGGGACGAAUGGUUCUUGUGCAAAUAGUGCGAGGAUUUGACGGUACCGGAAUAGAAAGCCACGGCUAACUACGUGCCAGCAGCCGCGGUAAUACGUAGGUGGCAAGCGUUGUCCGGAAUUAUUGGGCGUAAAGCGCGCGCAGGCGGAUUGCUCAGUCUGUCUUAAAAGUUCGGGGCUUAACCCCGUGAUGGGAUGGAAACUGCCAAUCUAGAGUAUCGGAGAGGAAAGUGGAAUUCCUAGUGUAGCGGUGAAAUGCGUAGAUAUUAGGAAGAACACCAGUGGCGAAGGCGACUUUCUGGACGAAAACUGACGCUGAGGCGCGAAAGCCAGGGGAGCGAACGGG
rnacentral:rRNA from 1 species